rnacentral:misc_RNA from 1 species
GAAAUGCGAUAAGUAAUAUGAAUUGCAGAAUUCAGUGAAUCAUCGAAUCUUUGAACGUACAUUGCGACCGCCAGCACACUGGCGGGCAUGCCUGUUCGAGCGUCAUUUCAACCAUCAAGCCCCCGGGCUUGCGUUGGGGACCUGCGGCUGCCCGCAGGCCCGGAAAACCAGUGGCGGGCUCGCUGUCACCCCGGUCGUAGUAGUAUCAUCUCGUCCCGGGCCUGGCUGCGGACUCCGGCCGUUAAACCUUAAUAAACCCAAAGGUUGACCUCGGGUCAGGUAGGAAUACCCGCUGAACUUAA